CAGCAGCCGCGGUAAUACAGAGGGUGCGAGCGUUAAUCUGAUUUACUGGGCGUAAAGCGUGCGUAGGCGGCUUCUUAAGUCGGAUGUGAAAUCCCUGAGCUUAACUUAGGAAUUGCAUUCGAUACUGGGAAGCUAGAGUAUGGGAGAGGAUGGUAGAAUUCCAGGUGUAGCGGUGAAAUGCGUAGAGAUCUGGAGGAAUACCGAUGGCGAAGGCAGCCAUCUGGCCUAAUACUGACGCUGAGGUACGAAAGCAUGGGGAGCAAACAGGAUUAGAUACCCCCGUAGUCCCUGUCUCUUAUAA
rnacentral:rRNA from 1 species